AAACCAGCACCUCAAGUGGUCAGGAUGAUUAUUGGGCCUAAAGCAUCCGUAGCCGGCUCUGUAAGUUUUCGGUUAAAUCUGUACGCUCAACGUACAGGCUGCUGGGAAUACUGCAGAGCUAGGGAGUGUGAGAGGUAGACGGUACUCGGGAGGAAGUGGUAAAAUGCUUUGAUCUCUCGAUGACCACCUGUGGCGAAGGCGGUCUACCAGAACACGUCCGACGGUGAGGGAUGAAAGCUGGGGGAGCAAACCGAAUUAGAUACCCCAGUAGUCC
rnacentral:rRNA from 1 species